AUUGAACGCUGGCGGCAUGCCUUACACAUGCAAGUCGAACGGCAGCACGGGUGCUUGCACCUGGUGGCGAGUGGCGAACGGGUGAGUAAAGCAUCGGAACGUACCGUGUAGUGGGGGAUAACGUAGCGAAAGUUACGCUAAUACCGCAUACGCACCGAGGUGGAAAGCAGGGGAUCGUAAGACCUUGCGCUAUACGAGCGGCCGAUGUCAGAUUAGCUAGUUGGUAGGGUAAAGGCCUACCAAGGCGACGAUCUGUAGCGGGUCUGAGAGGAUGAUCCGCCACACUGGGACUGAGACACGGCCCAGACUCCUACGGGAGGCAGCAGUGGGGAAUUUUGGACAAUGGGGGCAACCCUGAUCCAGCCAUGCCGCGUGAGUGAAGAAGGCCUUCGGGUUGUAAAGCUCUUUCGGCCGGGAAGAAAUCGCACAGGCUAAUACCCUGUGUGGAUGACGGUACCGGCAUAAGAAGCACCGGCUAACUACGUGCCAGCCGCCGCCGUAA
rnacentral:rRNA from 1 species